CAGAAACUCACAGCUGAGAAGAGGACAAAAAGACAUCGACCUGCAACUACUUCCAGCUCAGAUUUCACACAUCAGGGUGGAAUGAAAAUCCAUCUGGUAUGGAAACAGGUGGGCUUACAUCCGACUCUGGAAUAAUUUGAGGUACAGAGGAAUUCAUUUCUGAUUCAGUGGUUGCAAGGUACCCAGCAGGUCCUGUGGUGGGAAAACAAACCAAAAUCAUCACACUACUACAGCGCUUGCCAGUUAGCAUGUGGUGUUUGUGUUGAUAUGCUGUGUUUGGUUUACACCAAAUGUCAUGAAAACUUUAGUCCCGUGUGUCCAAAUGACACUGUUCUAGAAGUCUUGUGGUUUUAUUUUUUGUUUGUUUGUUUUGUUUUGUUUUGUUUUGUUUUUUAGAUGCAACCUAAGCUGGGCUGCCAUGUUGCUUUUGCUUCUAUAGUGAUUAUCACACUUGCUGAUGACUAUUUAAUAAGGAGUACUUGAUUAAGCGGUAAUGGUGGACCUAGUUUUUUAAACAUCCUUUCUGCAUUUUGGCAUACAUUUUAUGAAAUGAUGAUCAUGUAUUAUGACAAUUAAUUUUGUUAACUGAUGUUGAAAUUACUUGAUUUUAAGACUCUGUAUAAACCAAGUUAAAUAUAAUUUUCACUGUGUCCUGAUAUGUAGGUCACUAUAAAUUAAAGAGGCUGUGUUUUCUUUUUUUUUCCAUGUGAGUGCAUAUUUAUUUAUCAGUUCACUCGCACUGUACUCAUUUUAAUAUAUCAAAUUCUCUCCCUGGUUUACUCUUUGUCUUUCACUGUAUGUUUGUUAGCCCGUCAGUCACGUG